GACGAACGCUGGCGGCGUGCCUAAUACAUGCAAGUAGGACGCAGUUGCGAACGGGUGAGUAACGCGUAGGUAACUACCUAUUAGAGGGGGAUAACUAUUGGAAACGAUAGCUAAUACCGCAUACUAGUAGAUGGACUUGCGUUGUAUUAGCUAGUAGGUAGGGUAAUGGCCUACCUAGGGAACGAUGCAUAGCCGGCCUGGGGGGGGGUACGGCCACACUGGGACUGAGACACGGCCCAAACUCCUGCGGGAGGCAGCAGUAGGGAAUCUGCGGCAAUUGGGGGAAACCUGACCGAGCAACGCCGCGGGAGUGAAGAAGGGUUUCGGGUCGUAAAGCUCUGUUGUUAAGGAAGCGGUACUUAACCAGAAAGGGACGGCUAACUACGUGCCAGCAGCCGCGGUAAUUC
rnacentral:rRNA from 1 species